GCUGAAUCCUGUGCAAGGGGCUCGGUGUAGGCUGUUCAGGACUCUACUCCAGAGGCACAGCCCAGAUGGCUGUGGCAGGGAGAAAAAGCUUUCCUGCUUUCCGAACUAGAGCUGAAGGAUAAGAUCAGACCCAAGCAGACAGUUUGCCUGAAAAAGCCUCUGAGUGUGAGUGAUGCCACUCCUCCCUCAAUGGCACCAUGAAGUCUGAUUAACACAAGCGCUGCCCACGGUUACAGUCAGAAGCCGGAUGUCCAUAAACCAAAGGAGGGCCUGGAGGAGGGAAGAAGGUGACCUAUGCUUGCCUGAAACCCUGUCAACUUUCCUGAUCACAUUUCUUUGGACUGGAAUAUACACUGCCAGUGUGGAAUGCGUUUCCCUCUACCACCACCACUUCAGAAUAAAGAUUACAGCUGAAGCCCUUCA